UUGCACAAAGGCUUCAGAAUAUCUUGUUUUGAUUAUAAACGAUAAUCUACACCUUCUGAAAACAGUACAACAACUGACAGUGGGUUGGUACACUUUUGGUGGUAAAAAAAAAGGUCUUGUAUUUGUAGUAAAACUAGGGUACACAAAUCGUAAUCAAUCUGAAAAAAAGCAUUUUCAUAAUAAUAAUAAAAUCAUUAAAUCAUGGAUAAUUUUCCUAAAUGAGUAACUAUACAAAAUGAUUUCUGCUUGAAAGACAGAGAUCCGCAUCUGACAAUCAGCUAUUAAAUAACAGAGCGAGACCAGAGAUGAACGUGCUCAUUAAUGGGAGUAAUAUGGAAUAUUUUGUAAAUUUUUGAAUAACUGUAAGAAUUUUUCCUUUAAAUAUAAUUUUUGUCAUAUAAAGUUUUGAUAGAUAAUAAUGUUUUUUCCACGAUUAUUGCUCAUUUAUUUUAACGUGUUUGGCGCAUUUACCUCAGAGUUUAUUUCAGUUAUUUUGCUGUUUUUCCGGUAAUGAUAAUACAAUUUACAUGCGACCUUGUCUUUUUAUUCAUUUCAUUAUGCUGUUAUUUUAAGUUAUGUGGGUUUUUAUUGCCAUAUAAGACGUUCAUUGCCGUUAUAUACUCUUGAAUAAUAUCCAAAUCAUAUGCGGAAUAAUGUGUGCAUCUGUGAAUAACUGUAAGAAUACAGUUUCUUUGAAAAUAAUUUUUGUCAAAGUUUUGAGAAAUAAUAAUGUUGUGAGAAUAUUUAUUGCCAUAUUGCAGUUGAAUACUCUUGUUUAUAAUAUGAAAAUCACAUAGUAGGAAAUAUAUAAUGUGAUACUGCAAAGUUACCCUUCUUAUUUUUAUUUAUUAUAUAGCCAUAUGGAGACAAACAUUUGCAAAUGUGCUGAUUUGAUUCAUUCAUGUACUGACCACCAAGCUAGAGAUUUUAAUCUUAAUCCACACUUACUAUCAAAUAGUCUAUCUGCUUGAUGGAUCAAUCCGACCGCAUAUGUACUGCAAUAAACAGGCAUUCGGCGGCGCGGCUUUUUACAUCAAAGGCCGACAGGCUAUGCCAUUUGGGGAGGUGCCGUUCAAUGAUCCCCCUAUUCUUUAAAAAAUCCUAAACAUGGUUGGAACUGCCGAACAGGUUGAGCACUUUAAUGUUUAGCAAAGAGGCUGCACAGUUCGACCAGUGGGAAGUGGCCGCACAUCACGCCGCCAGACGGGGUUGCUAUUUAACUCGCAAUGUAUAACUAUUAUCAGGCCGGCCAUCGCAGCCUCAAAACACUACCGCCCCACCGGGAAAAGACCCGACUCUCCCGAUGGCCACUCCGCCACUGCCUGUUUGAAUUUACCAUUAUAUUAAAUACUGCACUUGGAUCCUUUGACUGCUUGCUUAAGCACAUAAUCACAGUACCAAAUAUAUACAGUAUAUGUUUCAAAAUGGGACAUAUUAGGACCUUUUUAAAGAGUACUGCCCCAGUGACAUCUAUAUGGACCUUUCUUUCUGACAGAAUAGUACCAAAUGGCAAACACAUUUUCAUUCACUUCAUCACAAAUAGUAGACUUGACUGUCAGCACGUUUACAUGCACACCAAUAAUACAAUUAUAAUGGGAUUUUGUCAAUACUGCGAUUAUACUUUACCUCAUGUAAAUGCAAUAAUUCGAUAAAAAUAAUGCGAUUAAGCUCAUAAUCGCAGUAAGUAUAAUCGCAUUAAAAGAGGUGGCGUACGCCGUUUAUAAUCGCAGCAUGCAUCAAUGUAAAUGCUUUAAUCGCAUUUAUACCGCACUAACUGAAGUGCGCAUGUGUUUUAGUCACGGACCUUAACUCUUUCCCUGCCAUUGACGAGGUAUAUUGUCAAUCAAGAGAAAACGCUUCCCCGCCAAUGACGAGUAUUUCCAUUUUUCCGCAAUACCGCUAUUAUCCACUAGGUGCAACUUUUUAAACCCGGAUAAUGAAAUACAUCCAUAACAACGUGUUUGUCAUGUAACGUAAGUAAAUUAAAACAGUGGACCAUGUAUGUGAGUUCAUCAUUUGUGCUCUGCAUUGGGCUAUGCGUGAAUAAUCCGAAAAUAAAAACUGCAUGUAAACCGGAGUGAAGAGAUUAGCUCCAGUCAUGUAAACAUCUUACUGCGAUUCAGUCCUUACUCGCAUUAUUGGAAAUAAUCGCAUUAUUGGUGUGCAUGUAAACGAGCUGACUCACUAGAUAGGGAAUAGUCAAGCGGUGAAUGGUUUCAGAUACCACACAAGUUACGUCCAUCUGUGUGAUGAUGCAUAAGGAAGUGGCAACACAUUUGUGGUCCCAAAUGGACAAAAGCUCUCAUCUGCAAACCACAUGAUGAAAGGUUUUUGGUGGCAGCAUUUGUGCAACACUUUCUUACAGAUCAGUUCAUUAUAAAAGGGUUUGAACGAGAAUCUGUGCCAUAUCAAGACCUGUAGGAGUGAAGGUAAGAUCAAUAUUUUAGUUCUCAAUACCGACUGCAUGAAUAAUCUGACAGCACAAUAAUCUUUAUGAGUAUAAUGAGUAUUUCAUCAUCAAGGAGCUCCGGUAUUUGUCAUAAAUGUACUUAUUUCAGACCUCAUACAGACUGUUAGCAUUAUCCUUGUUUAUUUCGAUGUAAGUGUAUAUUUUGGUAUGAUUUCUUUAGAUGUGUCUUUUUGGCUUCUCUGUAUUUCAUGACAUGUAUUGCCGUAGAAAGAUAUCUUCUGAUUGCUCAUCCGAUUUGGUACAGACAUCGUCACCCAGUCAAAUGUCUCGUCUGUACUUCUCUGACUGGCUGGUUGCUAUCAGGCAUUUUAUUAUUGCUUUGUGCUUGGUGGUGGAUAAACCUGGGUUUUAUCAUAGCCCUCUCUUACUACCUGGUGAUAGUUUUGUGUUUCGUAGGUGCAUGCAGGGCUCUCUCUCAGUCACAGUCGAUCACUUCUCUAAAGAGACGAUUGGUUGUGGCGACUCUGCUAUUUGUACUGCUGAGUUACACGUUUUGCAUCCUUCCCUUUGUAAUUAUGAUGCUGCUUCAAAUGCUUGUUUUUAAUUUUCAGUUACCUACCUUUAUAAACAAGAUUACAUUUAUUGUUUACAUGUUCAACCCGAUUGUGGAUUGUUUAUUGUAUGUGUUCAUGAGGACUGAUGCCGGGGAUGCUUUCAGGACGCCUCACUGCUGUUCCAGACGGAGAGAAAUUCAAAGUGAAACUCAGCUCACAAUAUUAACCGGUGGACACAGUCAUCAUGUGUGAUUACGACUGUAUAAAAGAUGGACGUAGUGUCCGUGACGUCACCCAUUGGUUUCUGAAGAUCAUUUUUUAAGAAGUACCGGAACGCAAGAAAAAGAAAAGAGGAACACGUAAGAACAAGAAGUUCAUGAAGAUAAAACGAAGAGCAAUCACAUUCUCAAGUCUGCCAACUAUAUCAGAAGUCAAGAACAUCUUCAUUUGUUCAUCUACUUGUUCUACAUUUUUAAAAGUCACCUGCAAUGGAGAAUGAAGACAUUAUCACAUCUCGUUAUGAAAACAUUUCACAUUCAAUCAAUCACACAUCUCUUGAAAAAGAAGCAUUUAGGGUCUACACAUGUAUCAUCUUAGGCAUUGAAUCUCCCCUUCUCUGUUUGGCCAUUUACACCAUUUUCUUUCUCACCAAAUCUGGUCAAGGAGCUCCAGUAUUUGUCAUAAAUUUACUCAUUUCAGACCUCAUACAGACUGUUAGCAUUAUCCUUGUUUAUUUCGAUGUAAGUAAAUAUUUUGCUCACAUUUUUUUUGCUGUGUCUUUUUUUGCUUCUCUGUACUUCAUGACAUGUAUAGCUGUAGAAAGAUAUCUUCUGAUUGCUCAUCCGAUUUGGUACAGACAGCGUCACCCAGUCAAAUGUCUCGUCUGUACUUCUCUGACUGGCUGGUUGCUAUCAGGCAUUUUAUAUUUGAUUUUUGAUUGGUGGUUUCAAUUCCUCUUGAUCAUAGCUCUUUUUUACUACCUGGUGAUAGUUUUCUGUUUUGUAGGUGCAUGCAGGGCUCUCUCUCAGUCACAGUCGAUCACUUCUCUGAAGAGACGAUUGGUUAUAGCGACUCUGCUAUUUGUACUGCUGACUUACACGUUUACCAUCCUUCCCUUUGCUAUUACAUUUUUUCUAGAUUAUUAUUUUAAUUCUAUGCUCCUUUUCCGUACAAGCGGGAUAGCAAUGGCUUUUUAUAUGUUAAACCCAAUUGUGGAUUGUUUGUUGUAUGUGUUCAUGAGGUCUGAUGCCGGAGAUGCUUUCAGGACGCCUCGCUGCUGUUCCAGACGGAGAGAAAUUCAGAGUGAAACUCAGCUCACAAACUUAACCGGUGUACGCAGUCAUCAUGUGUGAUUAUGGUGAUAUUAUCAUUAUUAAAAAUAGUUAAGUGCAUAUUUCACCUGAUAGGAUGCACAUGACAGCAGUCACAUAUGUUUUUAAGCAUGGUCCUAAAAUGUUCUAAUGCAUUUGUACUGUAAUGCUGUGAUCGUAUCUGUUGUGAUAUUAUACUUUAUGGACAUCACUUAGUUGAAAGCGGUUUAUCAAUAUGUCAGUGUGGUUAUGAUAUUUGCAUGUUUAAAUUAUCUUAAAGUGAAGAAAAAUAAAACAUUUGUGAAUAAUGUUAACAAAUAAGAUGUCACACUUGUAAUCCAUGUUGAAUGUAACAGUUGAAUAUAUUUAAUUUAAUAAGUUUAAUUUUUAAAGUCCACCUAUUUCAUUGCUAAAAAACAACAUUAUUUUCUGUUUUUGGUAUAAUACAAUGUGUUUGCAUGGUUUAUGGUUUAAAAACACAUUAUUUUCCACACACCUUACAUUUUUGUGAGUCCAGAUAUACUGCUUUCCUCAAAACGCACUGAUUUUGUACAAAACUCAUCAAUUUGAAAAGCGCUGUGUCUCUGAUUGGCCAGCUAAUCUGUACGUUGUGAUUGGCCUGCAAACCUCUGACGUCAGCUAGAAAUGUGACGCUCCUUACCAUGUUUGAAAGAUUCGCUCACAAUGCAAUGCUGACAGGAGUUAACUUACAGGCUGUGAGUCAGAAGCGGGAGGAAUUAUGAUAAUGUCGGUCUUUACUACAUCACCAAUCCCAGGAAGUAAACUGUUGCCUACAAUCCGUGAGUUUGUUGUAGUCCAAGAAAAGAGAUUUAUGUUGGAGAUAACUCGCGUCAUCGUUUACUUCAGGGUUUGUACCUUUUGCAUAUAGUUAACAUGUACUAAUACACACUUACACAUCAAAGGAAAUGUAAAAUCACAAAUUGGACCAUGUAAGGGUUUUGUCUUGUGUUCUGUUUUGUUUUGUGUUUAGAGCUUUUAUUUUGAUAUCCUGUCCUGGCUUUUAUUUUGAAAUCUUGACAUAUCUCACUUCACUUUUGUACUUCCUCUCUGUUUUCCAUAAAACUGGUUCAAUCUGUACAUUCCCUGCGAAGUAUUGUUAGCCUGUCUGG